AGAACUGGGUCUUAAGUGGAACAUAUUUGGCGAAUUAUGCUAAACAGAACAUUGGGCAAAAACCGGUUUAAUGGCGUGAAACCCAUCGGCACCAAAAGUUGUCAAAUCAUUCGAUUAGCGAUUGCUUACCAUUGUGAAAACACUCGUAAAUAGAACGUUUCCUAGGAAAUAACCCGGCGAAGAAUUAUGCAAAUCCCCCAGAAAACCCAGACCAAAAGAUGAUAUCUCUUCCUUGCUAGAUUGACCGCAGCAUUUCCGAUGUGACAUUUAGCACAAAAAAGUGCCAGAACCAAAACAGAAUACUGAUCUCGAGAAAAAAACCCCUUGUAACUGGGAAAAAUAACCACCUUUCGAAAGUAUCAACUGACACUCAUGACC
ensembl:ncRNA lncRNA:CR44523 long non-coding RNA:CR44523